rnacentral:pre_miRNA from 1 species
CCCCCACCCAUAUGUGUGGGACUUCAAAGGAUCACCAUUAAAGUUGGCACGGAUCUCUAUAAAACUUAUCACAUAGAUGUGGGACUUGACUUUUCUAUAGAUCCGUGCCAAAUUUAAUGGUGAUCCUUUGGAGUCCCACACACAUGGGGUGGGGG